rnacentral:rRNA from 1 species
GGAGUCUGGGCCGUGUCUCAGUCCCAAUGUGGCCGUUCAUCCUCUCAGACCGGCUACUGAUCGUCGCUUUGGUGAGCCCUUACCUCACCAACUGGCUAAUCAGACGCAGACCCAUCCUUCGGCGAUAGCUUCUCUUGUCUCAGCCAUCUUUAACGGUUCGCCCAUGCGAGCUUACCGCUUCAUUCGGUAUUAGCAGAGCUUUCGCCCUGUUGUCCCCAUCCCUAAGGUAGGUUAUCUACGCGUUACUCACCCGUUUGCCACUAAGAAUUUAAAAGCAAGCUCUCAAAUUCUCCGUUCGACUUGCAUGUGUUAAGCACGCCGCCAGCGUGUCCUCGAGCCACUGAUCAAACUACU